rnacentral:rRNA from 1 species
AAGUCGGACGGACACCUUCGGGUGUCAGUGGCGGACGGGUGAGUAACGCGUAGGAAUCUACCCCUAGGAGGGGGAUAACAGCUGGAAACGGCUGCUAAUACCCCAUACAGGCGCGAGCUGAAAGGAGCAAUCCGCCUAGGGAUGAGCCUGCGUCGGAUUAGCUAGUUGGUGGGGUAAUGGCCUACCAAGGCGACGAUCCGUAGCGGGUCUGAGAGGAUGGCCCGCCACACUGGAACUGAAACACGGUCCAGACACCUACGGGUGGCAGCAGGGAGGAAUCUUGGACAAUGGGGGAAACCCUGAUCCAGCGACGCCGCGUGAGGGAUGAAGGCCUUCGGGCUGUAAACCUCUUUUCUGGGGGACGAA